rnacentral:rRNA from 1 species
GUGGACGCCAGUCUGCAUGGAGCCGACCUUGAAAUACCACCCUUUAAUGUUUGAUGUUCUAACGUGGACCCGUAAUCCGGGUUGCGGACAGUGUCUGGUGGGUAGUUUGACUGGGGCGGUCUCCUCCUAAAGAGUAACGGAGGAGCACGAAGGUUGGCUAAUCCUGGUCGGACAUCAGGAGGUUAGUGCAAUGGCAUAAGCCAGCUUGACUGCGAGCGUGACGGCGCGAGCAGGUGCGAAAGCAGGUCAUAGUGAUCCGGUGGUUCUGAAUGGAAGGGCCAUCGCUCAACGGAUAAAAGGUACUCCGGGGAUAACAGGCUGAUACCGCCCAAGAGUUCAUAUCGACGGCGGUGUUUGGCACCUCGAUGUCGGCUCAUCACAUCCUGGGGCUGAAGUAGGUCCCAAGGGUAUGGCUGUUCGCCAUUUAAAGUGGUACGCGAGCUGGGUUUAGAACGUCGUGAGACAGUUCGGUCCCUAUCUGCCGUGGGCGCUGGAGAACUGAGGGGGGCUGCUCCUAGUACGAGAGGACCGGAGUGGACGCAUCACUGGUGUUCGGGUUGUCAUGCCAAUGGCACUGCCCGGUAGCUAAAUGCGGAAGAGAUAAGUGCUGAAAGCAUCUAAGCACGAAACUUGCCCCGAGAUGAGUUCUCCCUGAGACUUUAGGUCUCCUGAAGGAACGUUGAAGACGAC